rnacentral:rRNA from 1 species
AUCCAGGAUGCAGCAGGCGCGUAAAUUACCCAAUGUGGACUCCACGAGGUAGUGACGAGAAAUAUCAAUGCGGGGCGCUUCGCGUCUUGCUAUUGGAAUGAGAGCAAUGUAAAACCCUCAUCGAGGAUCAACUGGAGGGCAAGUCUGGUGCCAGCAGCCGCGGUAAUUCCAGCUCCAGAAGCGUAUGCUAAAGUUGUUGCAGUUAAAAAGCUCGUAGUUGAAUUUCUGGUGUGGGAGCCCAGGCCUCGGUGCGAAUGCGCCUUGUCUUGCCUUGCGGCUCCUUUGCCAUCCUCGUUUUUCUUUUGAAAAACGUCAUUCACUGUAAUCAAAGCAGAGUGUUCCAAGCGGGCCGUAGGGCCGGUAUGUUUAUUAUGGGAUGAUCAGAUAAGACUCGGGUGCUAUUUUGUUGGUUUGCACAUCUGAGUAAUGAUUAAUAAGAACAGUCGGGGGUAUCCGUAUUUAAGAGCUAGAGGUGAAAUUCUUGGAUUUCCGAAAGACGAACUACAGCGAAGGCAUUUACCAAGCAUGUUUUCAUUAAUCAAGAACGAAAGUCUGGGGAUCGAAGAUGAUUAGAUACNUCCNUA